CCUCGGAUGGCAAACCCGGGAACUGGGUAUAAUACCCGAUAGAUCUCGACUGCUGGAAUGCAUCGAGAUCGAAAGCUCCGGCGCCAGAGGAUGGGUCUGCGGCCUAUCAGGUAGUAGUGGGUGUAGCGUACCUACUAGCCUACGACGGGUACGGGUUGUGAGAGCAAGAGCCCGGAGAUGGAUUCUGAGACACGAAUCCAGGCCCUACGGGGUGCAGCAGGCGCGAAAACUUUACAAUGCCGGCAACGGCGAUAAGGGGACCUCGAGUGCCAGGUUACAAAUCUGGCUGUCGUGAUGCCUAAAAAGCAUUGCAUAGCAAGGGCCGGGCAAGACCGGUGCCAGCCGCCGCGGUAACACCGGCGGCUCGAGUGGUAACCGUUAUUAUUGGGUCUAAAGGGUCUGUAGCCGGCCGGAUAAGUCUCUUGGGAAAUCCAGCAGCUCAACUGUUGGGCUUUCAGGAGAUACUGUCUGGCUCGAGGCCGGGAGAGGUGAGAGGUACUUCAGGGGUAGGGGUGAAAUCUUGUAAUCCUUGAAGGACCACCAGUGGCGAGGGCGUCUCACCAGAACGGACCUGACGGCAAGGGACGAAAGCUAGGGGCACGAACCGGAUUAGAUACCCGGGUAGUCCUAGCCGUAAACGAUACUCGCUAGGUGUCGGCCACGGUGCGACCGUUGUCGGUGCCGUAGGGAAGCCGUGAAGCGAGCCACCUGGGAAGUACGGCCGCAAGGCUGAAACUUAAAGGAAUUGGCGGGGGAGCAC
rnacentral:rRNA from 1 species